CUGCUGCCUUCCGUAGGAGUUUGGGCCGUGUCUCAGUCCCAAUGUGGCCGGCCACCCUCUCAGGUCGGCUACUGAUCGUCGCCUUGGUGGGCCUUUACCCCGCCAACUAGCUAAUCAGACGCGGGCCCAUCCCAUACCACCGGAGUUUUUCGCCCGGGGCCAUGCGGCCUCGCGCGCUUACGCGGUAUUAGCGGUCAUUUCUAACCGUUAUCCCCCGGUAUGGGGCAGGUUACCCACGCGUUACUCACCCGUCCGCCGCUAAGUCACUCCCGCUUCCUUCCGUAAAAA
rnacentral:rRNA from 1 species